rnacentral:rRNA from 1 species
AUUGAACGCUGGCGGCAGGCCUAACACAUGCAAGUCGAGCGAGCGGCGGACGGGUGAGUAAUGUCUGGGAAACUGCCUGCUGGAGGGGGAUACCUACUGGAAACGGUAGCUAAUCCCGCAUACCAUCAGAUGUGCCCAGAUGGGAUUAGCUCGUAGGUGGGGUAAUGGCUCACCUAGGCGACGAUCCCUAGAUGAUCUGAGAGUAUGACGAGCGACACUGAAACUGAGACACGGUCCAGACUCCUACGGGAGGCAGCAGUGGGGAAUAUUGCACAAGGGGCGCAAGCCUAAUGCAGCCAAGCCGCGUGUGUGAAAAGGGCCUUCGGGUUGUAGAGCACUUUCAGCGGGGAGGCGUUACCCGCAGAAGAAGCACCGGCUAACUCCGUGCCAGCAGCCGCGGUAAUAC